GACGAACGCUGGCGGCGUGCUUAACACAUGCAAGUCGAACGGAAGGGCCCUGCUUUUGUGGGGUGCUAGAGUGGCGAACGGGUGUGUAACACGUGAGUAACCUGCCCUUGACUUUGGGAUAACUUCAGGAAACUGGGGCUAAUACCGGAUAGGAGCCCCUGCUGCAUGGUGGGGGUUGGAAAGUUUCGGCGGUUGGGGAUGGACUCGCGGCUUAUCAGCUUGUUGGUGGGGUAGUGGCUUACCAAGGCUUUGACGGGUAGCCGACCUGAGGGGGUGACCGGCCACAUUGGGACUGAGAUACGGCCCGGACUCCUACGGGAGGCAGCAGUGGGGAAUAUUGCACAAUGGGCGGAGGCCUGUUGCAGCAACGCCGCGUGCGGGAUGCGGGCCUUCGGGUUGUAAACCGCUUUCGCCUGGGACGAAGCGUGAGUGACGGUAAUGGGUAAAGAAGCACCGGCUAACUACGUG
rnacentral:rRNA from 1 species